UUGCUGACAUGCUGGAGUCUCGCAGGGAGUGGGGCUCCGGGUGCUGGGGCAGCACAGCUGUGCCAGGCCGUGUCUGCGAGCAGCACUGGCUGCAGGGAGAGCUUCCCGAUUCUUCUGUUUCCUUGCAUCAGUGAAUUCCACUCUGGCUGCGUGGCACUGCUGGUGAGGACAGGAGGCUGAGGUGGCUCCCACACCCCUCCAUCGGGCCAGCCCUCCUCGCUGGACGGAGCUGGCGUGUCCCAGCUGGGCCGCAGCCUGGCGAGGGCUCCCGGAGCAGGAUGAGUCUCUGGACAGAAAGCUGCAGCGGCCGCUCCUGGGCAAGUCGCGGACGCUGCCCAGCAUCCCGCAGUCGCCGGUGCUGAGCCGGCUGCCCCUGCUCGAGCCCGCCGCCUACAGGGACGAGAUGCCGGAGCAGAAGCCCUACAAGAAGCACUCGGCCUCCGAGCACCAGAAAGGCUGCACAGUCCCUUCUGCCGGGGAGGCCUGGCGGCUGGAGGAUGACUGCUCGGAGCCCCCCAGGGCCCCCCAGUUGGGCACGGCCGUGGAGGAUGCCCCGUUCAGCUACUUCCGCACACGCUCCUUUUACAUGAGGAAGAGCCUGUCUGUGGACAACCACCUGGGCUCCCUGAGCUACACCGUGCACCCGGCCGAGAGCAAGGCCGAGCGCGUCAGGACCAAGCUGCGGCGGCAGUUCGUGAGUAUCGGCCCCGGCCGCCCACGCUCACACGCGUGCGGCUUCCCAAAAACACCGACA
rnacentral:lncRNA from 1 species